GGUUCAUUGGGGAACACCAAAAAAGUGGAGAACCGGGGAACACCCUUGGAUUAAGUUAAUCAAUGGUUAAGAUUAGAUUAGAUUUGUAAGGUUUAAAAAACACGGAGGGGCAUAUUUGGAAUUUAUGAAAAGUUUUAAUUAGGUCGCUGGAGAGUAUUACGUAGUUCGCCGGAGAACUCAACCCUCUGCCACACGACACCCACUGAUUCUUUGCUUCCGGCUUCCAAUUCCGUCUCUUUCCGGCGGUUCAGAGAUAAUCGGAUAUGUUAAUUCUGAUUUCGAUCUCGAUCUCCUUCCGGCUGUUUGAAAGAUGCUUAGAUUUGUUAAUUCUGAUUCCGACAUUGUUCCGGCGGUUUAAGAGAUGAUCAGAUCUGUUAAUUUUGAUUCCGAUUUUGUUCCAGCGGUUUCAAAGAUGAACAGAUCUGUUAGUUCUUCCAUUGUUGGUGCUUAAGAUGAUCAGGUCUGUUAAUUCUAUGCUUAGUGCGUGAUUAAGUGAUUAGAUUCAUUCGUACGUUGAUAUACAGGUAUUCACCGACGAUGAUCUAGAUUUUAGUUAGUUUUUUCAAGUGAAAUUCGUGUUGUGGCUCAUUGAUCUGAAAUAUUCUUGUUAGAUCUGAAGUGAAUUUUUAACAUGUUAAUUGAUAUUUUUAUUCUCAACAUAGACUACAGUGGCUUUAAAUGUUACUCAAGAAUCUAACAGAUCCUUGAAAGUUCAAUUCAAGCUACUUACAAAGUCUAGUACAUACAGAAACCGGAUUCAUGUGCGGGUGAGCAAAACGCUAAUUCAUUGGUUGAUUUUUAAUCGAAAACAGAUGAACUUGAGGAUAUGUUGAGAGGGAGAAGAAGAAGCAAGAAGAAAGAACCGACUGCUUACUAGAAAACUUACUCACUAGAAAGAACUGAGCCUCAAAAGCCACACACAACAACAUAUCAUCACUGCUGCUGCUCUGUUCCUUACACCAUCGUCACCUUCGAAUUCCCGUCGUCGUCAUCGUCGGCCCUGCUGCUCCGCUCGUUUCACCCAGACGACAACAACAACAGCCGUCACUGCUGCUGGUCGACCACCACCACCGCCAAUCUCGUGGUUGAGAAUAAGGGGUUUUGUCACAUGGUUCCAUCAUCCAUGCUUAGUGCAUGAAUCAAGUCCAUCUAAAGCUGCAUUAGAGUUAAUAUAUGAAAUGGUGGUUCAGGAAUCGGGUCAAAAUGUGGAUUACACCCAGGACUAUCUUAGCAAUGUAAUCCAGUUUCCUUUCUAGUGAGUAGUGACCAAGGGUACAGAGGUAGAGUUAGCCGAGAAAGCACACACGAAAUCUUGCAGAAACUUGUAGAGGUUGACUUUCUUCUCAAACUCAACAUGACCGUUACUUUCAAAAUUCCCAUUUUCAAGAAGAGGUAUCUUUCUUGAUUGGUUUCUUAGCCAUCAUUGAGGCGCUCUAUAUUGACAUUACGAGGGAUGCUCAUGUUACCAAAGAACAACAUAAACCAUAUGUUGUGGUUUUUGUGGGAGUUAAUGGAGUAGGAAAGUCUACUAAUCUUGCCAAGGCAUGAUCACCAGUCACUUUCAAUACUUCAUGUGUUUAUAAAAGAUAAAUUAAUUAGGAAUGCAAACAUGUACACGUGGUGUAGUGGCUGCAGGAGCAUGAUGUCAAUGUCAUGAUGGCUGCAUGUGACACAUUCUGUUCAGAAGCAGUUGAGCAGCUGCGUACUCAUGCACGUAGGCUCCAGAUCCCUAUUUUGGAAAAGGGUUAUGAGAAAGAUCAUGCAAUCGUUGCUAAGGAAGCAAUUCAGGAGGCUACCCGAACGGGUCAGACGUUGUUCUUAUUGACACAGCUGGUUAGAUGCAGCUUUAAAGGCAAUAAAACUAUUUAUAAUAUUGUUUUCUUCUUGUAAUUAUGUGUAUUAUGUUUUUAUUUGUGUAUAAACUUUAUGUUAUUACAAUCUGAUCUGAAUCAUGUGAAGUUUGCAUAUAUAUAAUAUUCGAUUCAGAUUAGUUGUGAUAAGUUUCUAGGGUUAAUAAAGCAAGAAUUGCGAUGUUAGAUAAA